CAUUGUUAAAGGCCAUGUGAUGGCCUAUACUGUUGUUAAUUUCUAAGUCAUUUCGUCUCUUGUUGAGAGUUCUCUCAUCGGCAAUCAUGCCACAUCUUCUUUUUUUUUAUAUAUAUGAACAAAAAUAAAUUAAUGAAAGUAUGAUGACUUUUACGCACAACACAUACUAUAGUAUUACACAUAAAUUAAUUAUUCUAAAGACAUUCAUAGGACACUGGUCUGUUAGUUAUCAUUCACAAUUUUUUACAUACAUUUGUUAACCUCUAUCAUAUUUGGUCUUUACAAAAUUUAAUUAAAAAACUAAAAAUUGUUUUAAGUGCGAAAUCGACUAAUUCUGUUGCGCAGAUAUCUCGUAACUGAUUUGAGCUUGUGUUUCCUACAAUGACACAGAUAACCACAAAUUUGUUUUCGUUUGUAGCAAUUGAGACAUUCCCAUAAACUUUUCCUCGAUUGUGUUUCAUUGGCUCUCACCAUAUCUUUUUACUUCUAUAUAUGUAUACAGGUGAGAUUUUGAAGAAAAACAGUUAUCACAAUAUUUUUUCGUUAACACUAUUAACGGUACCAAUUUUACUGCACUAGAUACGUAUUUCAAAAAUAAACGCGUCUUUAGUGAUGCUCAAAGCAAAAAAAAUAUAUAUAAAUCAAAAACUUGUUCAAUUCACAUUCAUUGGGCAAAAUAAAAAAAAACAAACUUUUAUGUUUUCUGGCGCCAUAAAACAUCUUCGUUUUAUGUGAAGACAGGGAUAACAUUACUGAAAUAAAAUUUGAAUGACGUUACUAUUUAUAAUACCCC
rnacentral:lncRNA from 1 species